rnacentral:snoRNA from 1 species
AUGCAUCUCUGACAGAUCUGGAGCAGUUAAUAAAGGCUGCUAAGGUUUCCACUACAGAUGUAAGAAAAAGAAGGUCCUCGUGCUUUCUGUCAGUCUGGUUGUGGCAGCCAAAAUUGAAUAGAGGAAUAAGAGA